rnacentral:sRNA from 1 species
UGGGGUGGGCGGUAAGCAAGAGUCAAGCUGGUUUCUCCGGGGAAGCGGGUGCCUAUUUGAGGGCGAGUAAAGACGUAGGAGACCGAGGAAAGUGUGUGGGAGGGGUUGACCUGCCCCUUGUCCUGGCCCCGGCUCUGUUCACUUGCAGACACCAUACAGAGCCUUCAUUCAUUCAUUCAUUGACAAUGAAUGUGGGGUGCCCCUCUGUAACCAGACCUGGAUCAAGACGCCUGCCUCCCCAGACUCAGCCACUGCCCACUUCAGCUUCUGCCGGACCCUCCUGGAGCACACGGUGUCAGCUGAGAGCAUCCCCUGCCACUUGCCUCGGACACCUGGCACCAGCCUCACGUGGCAUGACUCCCGCAGCCAGAGGGCGGCCAGCAGCAGGCCAAUCAAGCUCCUGCAGCAGCCCGGCACAGACACCCCCCAGGGCCGGCUGUACUCUGACCACUAUGGCCUGUACCAUACAAGCCCCUCACUGGGUGGCCUGACCCGGCCCGUGGUCCUGUGGAGUCAGCAGGACGUCUGCAAGUGGCUCAAGAAGCACUGUCCCCACAACUACCUCGUCUACGUGGAGGCCUUCUCCCAGCAUGCCAUCACCGGCCGGGCACUGCUGCGGCUGAAUGCGGAGAAGCUGCAGCGGAUGGGGCUGGCCCAGGAGGCCCAGAGGCAGGAGGUGCUGCAGCAGGUGCUCCGCCUGCAGGUGCGUGAGGAGGGGCGGAGCCUGCAGCUGCUCAGCCAAGCUUCCUUCGGGAAAAUGUCCUAGCUGCUGUUGAGGCUUGAACCCAGACCCCAGCACUG